GAUCUUGGCCAUACUACCUUGAACAUGCCUGAUCUUGUAUGAUCUUGGAAGCUAAGCAGGGUCAGUCCUAGUUAGUACUUGGAUGGGAGAAAAAGCAUACUCAUGAAAAAUAUCCAUGUAUACCAAAGACA
rnacentral:rRNA from 1 species